rnacentral:rRNA from 1 species
CCUACGGGAGGCAGCAGUAGGGAAUAUUGCUCAAUGGGGGAAACCCUGAAGCAGCAACGCCGCGUGGAGGAUGAAGGCUUUCGGAUUGUUAACUCCUUUUGUUAGAGAAGAUAAUGACGGUAUCUAACGAAUAAGCACCGGCUAACUCCGUGCCAGCAGCCGCGGUAAUACGGAGGGUGCAAGCGUUACUCGGAAUAACUGGGCGUAAAGAGCGCGUAGGCGGGAUAGCAAGUCAGAUGUGAAAUCCUAUGGCUUAACCAUAGAACUGCAUUUGAAACUGUUAUUCUAGAGUAUGGGAGAGGUAGGUGGAAUUCUUGGUGUAGCGGUAAAAUCCGUAGAGAUCAAGAGGAAUACUCAUUGCGAAGGCGACCUGCUAGAACAUAACUGACGCUGAUGCGCGAAAGCGUGGGGAGCAAACAGGAUUAGAUACCCCUGUAGUC